rnacentral:ncRNA from 1 species
UUCAGGGCGAGGUGAAAUUCCUCACCGGUGGUCACAGUCCACGAACCUUUUGGGUUGAUUUGGUGAAAUUCCAAAACCGACGGUUAGAGUCCGGAUGGAAGAAU